rnacentral:rRNA from 1 species
UACGGAGGGUCCAAGCGUUAUCCGGAUUCACUGGGUUUAAAGGGUGCGUAGGUGGUCUGAUAAGUCAGUGGUGAAAUCCAGCAGCUUAACUGCUGAACUGCCAUUGAAACUGCCAGGCUUGAGUGUCGUUGAGGCAAGUGGAAUGUAACAUGUAGCGGUGAAAUGCAUAGAUAUGUUACAGAACACCAAUUGUGAAGACAGCUUGCUGGACGAUAACUGACACUGAGGCACGAAAGCGUGGGUAG